rnacentral:lncRNA from 1 species
CCACAGUUGGACCCUCAGCCACCCCAGCUAAUAAUUCUAAUUUAAUAGAGAAUUACACAGUUGAUCCUUUACCCAUCCCAGUCAAUCAUUCUCAACCAUCAGAGAAUUCCACAAUUGGACUCUCAGCCACCCCAGCUAAUGCUUCUAAUUCAACAGAGAAUUCCACAGCUGGACCCUUGCCCACCCCAGCUGAUGAACUUAAACCAGCAGUUUAUCCAACUGUUGAAUCCUCAUCCACUCCAGAUUCCUCAACUAAACCAGCAGCCAAAGAGGACGCAGACUCAGGCCUGAUUGGACUUAGAGCAAAAGUGACUAUGAAAGGAGAAUUAUCUGAGUCUGAAAUUGAGAAGUUGGUAUUAUUAAAGCUUGAGGAGGAAAUCCUUGGACUUGGCUUUCCUCACAACUUCAGAGUGCGCGUGAGGAUCACUCGUAAGAUUACCCCGUGAUUGAUUUUCGAUUUCUGGAUUUGUUGAAAUCGCCAUAAAUGAGGUGGAAACCUGUUUUGUUGGAAGCAGAUUGUUCUUGAAAACUGAUUGCAGCUUCUCCUCAGCCUACUGUUUAUAGAGCUGCCUACUGGGAGACUGACUGCUUUGCCAGUCUCAACAAUCAUCAAAUAGAGUCUUAUAGGAACACUAAAGGGCUUUUCAGCUUAACUUGUAUCUGCAGCAUCUGUAGUGUAUGAUUACUUAUGACUGACAUACUUUUUUGACAGAAAGGCUUUGUUUGAUCACAACAUACUGUAGAAACUGUUUGAAAAUCAGAAUUAAAAUAAGCCGGGCUUAUUUUACUGUGCAAUUUGGGUGUUGGAAAGUCUGGCAGAUAUGUGAAUGAUUACUGGUGUGAACAAGUUGGACACUACAGGCCCUAUUUUAGUGAUCUAUAGGCGAGCCGUCAACCAACCACUAGGAAAUGGACCUGCUUGUUUACGCUGUGAAGGUUAUGAGAAGAGCAAUAAGCAAUGUAAUUAUUUUUGUAUUUUGUUUAUUUUUGAUGUAAAAGUUGGGUUUGUGCACUGCUGCGUGUUCAUGUGUGUGUAACAAGCGUGAAUGAAUACACACACACAGCAUACUCUCAACCGGAAAUGACUGUCUAGGACAUUGAAGCACUAAGGCAAUAGGAUCCCUACAUUUUCUUAAAAUAUAAAAAAUAGUUAACCCUCCUGUUAUGUUACGGGUCAAACUGACCUGUUUUAAAGUUUGAAGAUCUAGGAAAAAUAGUUAAAAGUAUUUUUUCAGUAUGAAACUUUUCUGCUUGCCCAAAUUAGUGUAAUCAACAUAUAAUAUGAUGAAACUAAAGCAAAUUUUCAAUGUUAUGUUUGUGUUAGGUAAAACUAUUGUGUUUUAUAUGUUAGUCUUUCAAAAGUAAUAAAGUAAUGAAACAUUUCA